rnacentral:lncRNA from 1 species
UGUUGGUCAGGCUGGUCUUGAACUGCUGACCUCAAGUGAUCCGCCAAUCUCGGCCUCCCAAAGUGCUGGGAUUACAGGCAUGAGCCACCUUGCCCGGCUGGUUGUCUUCUACUUGCAGCUGAGCAGCAAUAUCAGAAAGCAGACACAGAUAAGUUUUUCCAGGAGGGUAGAAAACAUUUUUAAUAGUCGUAGCUAAAAUUCACUGAGGGCUCACUGUUCUAAAUGCUUUGAAUCUAGUAACUUAAUUCUUCACAACAAUCCUGGGAGGUGAUUCACCCUCAAUAGGUGGCAGAGCUGGGCUGAGAAGCCACAGCCUGGUUCUGUAGUCUGGGCAUUUCAUCACAACAGGGAAACAGCUCUGAAGCUGCCGACAGGGUGAUUGCUGAUGCUGCAGAACAUUCUAGUGCUAUAGUCAAACUGGAAGAGAUGCCCAGCAAAAGAUUUGAGAGUGAGUUAGAAAUUCAGGUUCUAUUCAAGUGUAAGAUAAAAUCAUACUUAGAGAAAAUGAGCUAGUUAAUUACAUUGAGUUAAGUGCUCAAUUUUGUUUUAAAAUUAGUAUCUUCCAUGGAAAUGACAUGACAAUAUUCCAUAAUGCUUAAGUUUACCUUUUUAAUGGUUUUCGGUUGAUAAAAGUAUAAUCAAGUCGAAAUGCUUCUUAAUUUUGCCUCAGCUCAUUCCCCCGAGGGAAGGCCAUUACCAGGCCAUAGGCCAUGACCCAUAAGGGAGAGUCAAGGGGUGUAAAGGCCAUGGACUGCAGAUUCAAAUUCCUGCUCCAUCGUUUGCUAGGUAAGUUACUUACUAGGCACCUCUUUUGCAUCCUUAAUUUCUCAAAUAGGGAAAUGGAAUUAAAUCUCCUUUGCCAUGUUUUUCUGAGGACUAAAUAAGAUAUUGUAUGUAAAGAGCCUGGCAACAGAAGUCACUUAAGAAAUGGUAACUUCUUAUCUGUGCCUCCUCAUGGCAGUUUAUUGAGUUCAAAGCGUAACACUCACAGGAGAAAGAAUAUCCUCAUAUUCCAACCUUGGAAAUGCAAAAUUGGUCAUGACGGAUGUGUAAGAGCAAGAUGAAUACACAGGGGAGAAGGAAAUAGCACAGUCCCCUGCCCUAGCCUGGUGCCCCAGGCGUCCAGGCAGGGAGUGACACUGGGUCAGGUGGCUGGGAGUCAGCUGGCCUGCUGAGGUCCACUGGGGCCAGAGGAGAGAAGAGCAGCGAGGGGAAGACAGUCAGCUCCUUUCAAAGCCUCUCGCCCGGCCGGGUACAGUGGCUCACACCUGUAAUCCCAGCACUUCAGGAGGCCGAGGCUGCCGGAUCUCCUGAGGUCAGGAGUUCGAGACCAGCCUGACCAACAUGGUGAAAUCCUGUCUCUACUAAAAAAAAUACAAAAAUUAACUGGGCGCAUAGUCCUAGCUGCUCAGGAGGCUGAGGCUGGAGAAUCACUUGAACCCGGGUGGCAGAAGUUGCAGUGAGCCGAGAGCCCACCACUACACUCCAGCCUGGGCCACAGAGUGAGACUCUGUCUCAAAAAAAAUGAAUAAAUAAAACCUCUGGUAUUUCACAGGCCCACCAUGAGUCUCCACUCUACAACCCCUGCAUCCCUUGGUGAUGCAAACAAAGACAGAAUAGCUGGAAAUAUGGCUCCAUUACAUUAUACUAUUACAGAUUAGAGGUCUGUAAUCUGCAGAUAGGCUGUAGGGUGGUUGACAAUAAAGUACUUCCAAUCCCCAUAGAAACCUGCCUUUGAUAUCUCUCGUUUGAGGAGUCCAAACAGUCUUGAAAAUAAUAAACUCAUUAUUGCUCCCAAUAUUGCUAAAAAACAAAGAAAAGGAGAGGGAGAGAGAGAGACUCCUCCAGGGCCCCAGUUGGUGGACACAGUUAUUGGGCUCUGUUGAGCACUAAAAGCCAAGGAGGGGCGCACACAUUACAAGUGUACAAGGUGCUUGUGAGGGCAAAAUUCACCUAACAACUAAAUGGCAGAGAUCAAGGAACAGUGAAGUAGUUGGGCUUUCCCUGAGAGUUAGGACUCCAGCAGGAUGAGGGGAGGCUUGAUUAUUUUGUUUGUAAGCACUGCUUGAACUUUUCUGAGGGCUGUGGGGGCACAUUUACCUGAGGACUUCCUGGGGACCUUCUGUGAGGAAAGCGAUUAAAAGGAUUAAAGCCCCAACACCUCUUCCCCGAGAUUCAAAGUUACUGAAAUUCACUGAGGUGAACUAAAGGUGAGUGGGUGACCACAGCCAUACCCAAGCACAAGAAAGGCAAGGAAGCCCCUGAAAAUCACCGUGAAGGAAGAAUGUGACAGGACUAAAAAGAGAACAGCAGAGGAGCCUGUCCCCUAAUGCAGGGGUCCCCAGCCCCAGCCCACGGACUGGUACCCGGUUCAUGGCCUGUUAGGAACCCAACCCCACAGCAGGGGGUAAGUGGCAGGUGGGAGGGCAUUACUGCCUGAGCUCCACCUCCUGUCAGAUCAGCGCCAGCACUGGAUUCUCAGAAAAGCAGGAACCCCAUUGUGAACUGCGCAUGCUAGAGGAAUCUAGGUUGCACAGUCCUUAUGAGAAUCUAACUAAUGCCUGAUGAUCUGAGGUGGAACAAUUUCAUGCCGAAACCACCCCUCCCACUCACACCCCACUCCCCCAUCCGGGCAGUGUGUCUUCAUGACUGUCAAUGACUCUACGAUGGUGUCACUGGGAGUCUGGCCCGUGUCUGUGGGAAGUCCUCCUGACUGCAAGUAGCACCUAAGUGGGUAGAGGGCCAGGCUGGGUGGGCAUCCUGCUUUCCUUCUGAAGAACUAUGAGCAUCACUGAGGACCAGAAGCAGAGCUUGAGCCACACCACCUCCAGGAAGCCCUCUUAGCUAUGCAAGGAGAGAAUCUCUCCAGACCCUUGGAUUUCAGCUGCUUCUGGCAUCCAUAGGAGCACCUGACAGCUGCGGAGGCUGGACUGUACUGCCGCCAUCUCAGCUCACUGCAACCUCCCUGCCUGAUUCUCCUGCCUCAGCCUGCCGAGUGCCUGGGAUUGCAGGCACGCACCGCCACGCCUGACUGGUUUUCGUAUUUUUUGGUGGAGACGGGGUUUCGCCGUGUUGGCCGGGCUGGUCUCCAGCUCCUGACCGCGCGUGAUCUGCCAGCCUCGGCCUCCCGAGGUGCCAGGAUUGCAGACGGAGUCUCGCUCGCUCAGUGCUCAAUAUUGCCCAUGCUGGAGUGCAGUGGCGUGAUCUCGGCUCGCUACAACCUCCACCUCCCAGCCGACUGCCUUGGCCUCCCAAAGUGCCGAGAUUGCAGCCUCUGCCCGGCCGCCACCCUGUCUAAGAAGUGAGGAGCGUCUCUGCCCGGCUGCCCAUCAUCUGGGAUGUGAGGAGCCCCUCUGCCUGGCCGUCCAGUCUGGGAAGUGAGGAGCACCUUUUCCCGGCCGUCAUCCCGUCUAGGAAGUGAGGAGCGUUUCUGCCCGGCCGCCCAUCGUCUGGGAUGUGGGGAGCACCUCUGCCCGGCCGCCCCGUCUGGGAAGUGAGGAGCCCCUCUGCCCGGCAGCCACCCCGUCUGGGAGGUUUACCCAACAGCACAUUGAGAACGGGCCAUGAUGACGAUGGCGGUUUUGUCAAAUAGAAAGGGGGGAAGUGUGGGGAAAAGAAAGAGAGAUCGGAUUGUUACUGUGUCUGCGUGGAAAGAAGUAGACAUAGGAGACUCCAUUUUGUUCUGUACUAAGAAAAAUUCUUCUGCCUUGGGAUGCUGUUAAUCUAUAACCUUACCCCCAACCCCGUGCUCUCUGAAACAUGUGCUAUGUCCACUAAGGGUUAAAUGGAUUAAGGUCCGUGCAAGAUGUGCUUUGUUAA